UCUCUCUAUCUCUCUAAAAACUCCAAGAACACACACUUCUCUCUCUCUAAAAUUCUUACACUCAAAUUAAUCAUUUCAAGUAAAUUUAAGUUAGAAUAAUCAACCUUAUCAUCAUUUGAUCAUCAUACCAAAAAUUGAGUGGUCAAAGUGCAAGGAAACUCUCUAAACGGGUCAAAAAUGGGUCAAACACUUUGGAAGAGGCUUUGGUUUGUGAUCAUUGUGCUCCCCGCUCACCUACUUAAGCUCAUUCUAAUGACAUCUAAGGCUAAGGUAUUCGUUUGAAAUUGGAGACUUGAUGGCUUUUUGUUGCUUCUGUUAGGGCUUGGACAGGGACUUUCAUGGAUCCGUGAUCCAUUUGCCCACUUUUAGAAUUUUUGCUUAGAUCCAUAAAGAUUUGGUUUUAUGUUGACGAAUUAUUGUUUAUUUAGCAUUAUGUACUUUAAAUGUUGGCUUGGAUUCACCGAAUCCUUUUUAUUCAUGUAGUUUAUGUUUGUCAAU